UGGGUUGCCCCCCCCCCCUCCGUCCCCCCCCACGCGGGAGGACGCCGGGACGGGGGCGGACAAUGGCCUCCCGUGCGCCCCGCGCGCGGCCGGCCC
rnacentral:rRNA from 1 species